AAUUUUGCGCAAUGGGCGAAAGCCUGACGCAGCAACGCCGCGUGAAUGUUAAGCCCUUCGGGGUGUAAAGUUCUGUCAGUGGGGACGAAACUUGACGGUACCCACAGAGGAAGCACCGGCUAACUCCGUGCCAGCAGCCGCGGUAAUACGGAGGGUGCGAGCGUUGUCCGGAAUCAUUGGGCGUAAAGAGUUCGUAGGUGGCAUGUUAAGUCUGGUGUUAAAUCCCGAAGCUCAACUUCGGUCCGGCUCCGGAUACUGGCAAGCUAGAAUGUGGUAGAGGUAAAGGGAAUUCCUGGUGUAGCGGUGAAAUGCGUAGAUAUCAGGAGGAACAUCGGUGGCGAAAGCGCUUUGCCGGGCCAUAAUUGACACUGAGGAACGAAAGCCGGGGUAGCAAAUGGG
rnacentral:rRNA from 1 species